UCUUGUUUAUCCUUUAUCCUGUUGCAAUAUCAAUCAAUAUAAUUUAAAUAGUAUAGUAGGAUGACAUUAUUCUUUUUAGAGUUAGGUGUAAAUAAUAAUAAAUGGUCAUAAAAAAAAAUUACCAAUUUUUUAACGUCUUUUUUUUAUGAAAAUUCUUUGACGAUGAUGAUGAUGGAUUAACGUUAUAUGUUUCAUUGAUGUGAUGUUCUGGGCUUUUUUUUUGGGAGACUUGAUUAUCAAUCAUUUUAAUAUAAAUACAAAACGAUGGAUAUUUGUCUUCUCAUUCAUUUGGUAAAUUGCAUUAUUCACCAAAAUUAUUUCUCUCUAUAUACAAAAUGAUGAUGGCCUCUUACCUGAAAAUACCAAUGAUUAUUGUUGUGAUAAAUUUAAUCAUAUUUUGUAUGAUUGGACACGUUUCUUCAUUACCAAUCGAUGAUAAUGAUAAUCAAAUUGAUGAUCGCGAAUCAUCGUUUAAUCGGGAUGAAAAUUUGAACGCAGCGGACAAGGCUUCCGAAUCAACGACAACUACAACAAAAAAGACUCCUGAAUCAACGACAACGACAAC